GCACAAGCGGUGGAUGAUGUGGUUUAAUUCGAUGCAACGCGAAAACCUUACCCACCUUUGACAUGUACGGAAUCCUUUAGAGAUAGAGGAGUGCUCGAAAGAGAGCCGUAACACAGGUGCUGCAUGGCUGUCGUCAGCUCGUGUCGUGAGAUGUUGGGUUAAGUCCCGCAACGAGCGCAACCCUUGUCAUUAGUUGCUACGAAAGGGCACUCUAAUGAGACUGCCGGUGACAAACCGGAGGAAGGUGGGGACGACGUCAAGUCCUCAUGGCCCUUAUAGGUGGGGCUACACACGUCAUACAAUGGCUGGUACAAAGGGUUGCCAACCCGCGAGGGGGAGCCAAUCCCAUAAAGCCAGUCGUAGUCCGGAUCGCAGUCUGCAACUCGACUGCGUGAAGUCGGAAUCGCUAGUAAUCGUGGAUCAGCAUGUCACGGUGAAUACGUUCCCGGGUCUU
rnacentral:rRNA from 1 species